rnacentral:rRNA from 1 species
GAUGAACGCUGGCGGCGUGCCUAAUACAUGCAAGUCGAGCGAAUGGAUUGAGAGCUUGCUCUUAUGAAGUUAGCGGCGGACGGGUGAGUAACACGUGGGUAACCUGCCCAUAAGACUGGGAUAACUCCGGGAAACCGGGGCUAAUACCGGAUAACAUUUUGAACAGCAUGGUUCGAAAUUGAAAGGCGGCUUCGGCUGUCACUUAUGGAUGGACCCGCGUCGCAUUAGCUAGUUGGUGAGGUAACGGCUCACCAAGGCAACGAUGCGUAGCCGACCUGAGAGGGUGAUCGGCCACACUGAGACUGAGACACGGCCCAGACUCCUACGGGAGGCAGCAGUAGGGAAUCUUCCGCAAUGGACGAAAGUCUGACGGAGCAACGCCGCGUGAGUGAUGAAGGCUUUCGGGUCGUAAAACUCUGUUGUUAGGGAAGAACAAGUGCUAGUUGAAUAAGCUGGCACCUUGACGGUACCUAGCCAGAAAGCCACGGCUAACUACGUGCCAGCCGCCGCGGUAA